ACCGUGCGGCAGUUGCUGAAGAACCUUCUCGAGACUGACGUGCUGCCGAUGGAUUUGGACUUCCGCAUCGGCGAAUUCUCGCCAGCUGGCUUCGACAUCAAGCAGUCCGCGGCGCCAUUCGCAGCCGAUUCCUCUGAAGACAAGCGCCGGUUGCUGGAGUUGGUGGCGGCCGUACACGGAGCUGAUCAAGA
rnacentral:misc_RNA from 1 species